UACGUAGGGUGCAAGCGUUUGUCCGGAAUUAUUGGGCGUAAAGAGCUUGUAGGCGGUUUGUCGCGUCUGCUGUGAAAUUUCGGGGCUCAACCCCGAACUUGCAGUGGGUACGGGCAGACUAGAGUGUGGUAGGGGGAGACUGGAAUUCCUGGUGUAGCGGUGAAAUGCGCAGAUAUCAGGAGGAACACCGAUGGCGAAGGCAGGUCUCUGGGCCACUACUGACGCUGAGAAGCGAAAGCAUGGGGGAGCGAACAGG
rnacentral:rRNA from 1 species